rnacentral:rRNA from 1 species
UACGUAGGUGGCAAGCGUUGUCCGGAUUUAUUGGGUUUAAAGGGUGCGUAGGCGGUUCCAUAAGUCAGUGGUGAAAUACAAUAGCUUAACUAUUGAGGUGCCAUUGAUACUGCGGAACUUGAGUACAGACGAGGUAGGCGGAAUUGACGGUGUAGCGGUGAAAUGCUUAGAUAUCGUCAAGAACACCGAUAGCGAAGGCAGCUUACUAGACUGUAACUGACGCUGAGGCACGAAAGCGUGGGGAGCGAACAGG